CAUCGCGGGAUGGAGUCUGAAGGAAGAGGCAGACGAGGUUCCGCUCUGACGAAGGGAAAUCGUACGGAAGACGGGGUUGAGCCUGCAGCAACAGCCGAAGUCUCAUACUCCCCGGACGCUGUCCCGGAAAUGCGGCGGCCGCAUGGAUUGAAGGGGAU
rnacentral:ncRNA from 1 species